UAGGGAAUCUUCCACAAUGGACGAAUGUCUGAUGGAGCAACGCCGCGUGAGUGAAGAAGGUUUUCGGAUCGUAAAGCUCUGUUGUUGGUGAAGAAGGAUAGAGGCAGUAACUGGUCUUUAUUUGACGGUAAUCAACCAGAAAGUCACGGCUAACUACGUGCCAG
rnacentral:rRNA from 1 species